CCUGGCCUGUCUCAGUUCCACGAUUACUUUCAUCUCCACCUGCCGGAACUAGGCAAGCUUCUGCAUUUGUUUCAUCUGUAUUAGCAGCUUCUUGUGAGGAUUGUUCCUCAGUUUCAUCAUUUACAGUUUCUGCUUGUCAACACUUGGAAAUUCCUUUCCACCACGAUCACCGGAAACCUGGCCUGUCUCGGUUCCACAAGUACUUUCAUCUCCACCUGCAGGAACUAGGCAAGCUUCUGCAUUUGCUUCUUCUGUCCUAGCAGCUUCUUUCAAGGGCAUUUCCUCUACAUCAAGAAUUGUGCUACUAUCUUGUUCUGCAUCGAUCCAUCAUUGUUACAAGUUGAAAAAUGUCUUUUAGCAAGUAUGAAUAGCAACCAAGAUAUACACUAACCUUUCUCAUCAUGCUCCCCGUCCUUUAUACAAGGAGAUGCUAGGCCAUCAUGUUGAAGAGUAGCAGAUUCCGUCUCAUUUCGAGUAUCUUUAUCCUCAGCUGCAGGUACUAAAUGACCUUGCCCUUUUGCCUCUUCUUCAUAACCAGAUUCUAUCAUUGAAUGUUCCUUAUCUACUGGAAUCAUGUUAGUAUCUUCUUCUACACCAGUCAUCAUCAUCAUCAUCAUCAUCAUCAUUACCAUAUAUGGAGAAACAAGCUUUAGCAAGUGCCUGGUAAAUAGACAAUCAUAUAAUGGCAAGAAAAUACUAUAUGACUAACCUUUUUCAUCUUUUCCAUUUACAUAUACAUCUUCAGAUACAACAACUUCAUGAUUUUGUUCCUGUUCGUAAUCUGUUCGAGCAGCAUCUUCCUGAGUUUUCUCGCCUUCUUCUGCAUCAUUCCAUCUGAACUUUAUGUAUGAAAAUUAACAUAUUUUAAGCAUAUCAAAUGUUGAACUCA